rnacentral:rRNA from 1 species
CCUACGGGGGACUGCAGUGAGGAAUAUUGGUCAAUGGACGAGAGUCUGAACCAGCAAAGUAGCGUGAAGGAUGACUGCCCUAUGGGUUGUAAACUUCUUUUAUAAAGGAAUAAAACGAGGCACGUGUGCCUUUUUGCAUGUACUUUAUGAAUAAGGAUCGGCUAACUCCGUGCCAGCCGCCGCGGUAAUACGGAGGAUCCGAGCGUUAUCCGGAUUUAUUGGGUUUAAAGGGAGCGUAGAUGGGUUGUUAAGUCAGUUGUGAAAGUUUGCGGCUCAACCGUACAAUUGCAAUUGAUACUGGCAGUCUUGAGUACAGUUGAGGUAGGCGGAAUUCGUGGUGUAGCGGUGAAAUGCUUAGAUAUCACGAAGAACCCCGAUUGCGAAGGCAGCUUACUAAACUGUGACUGACAUUGAUGCUCGAAAGUGUGGGUAUCAAACAGGAUUAGAUACCCUUGUAGUC